rnacentral:rRNA from 1 species
GAUGAACGCUGGCGGCGUGCCUAAUACAUGCAAGUCGAGCGAACAGACGAGGAGCUUGCUCCUCUGACGUUAGCGGCGGACGGGUGAGUAACACGUGGAUAACCUACCUAUAAGACUGGGAUAACUUCGGGAAACCGGAGCUAAUACCGGAUAAUAUAUUGAACCGCAUGGUUCAAUAGUGAAAGACGGUUUUGCUGUCACUUAUAGAUGGAUCCGCGCCGCAUUAGCUAGUUGGUAAGGUAACGGCUUACCAAGGCAACGAUGCGUAGCCGACCUGAGAGGCUGAUAGGCGGCACUGGAACGGAGACACGGUCAAGACUCCUGCGGGAGGCAGCAGUAGGGAAUCUUCCGCAAUGGGCGAAAGCCUGACGGAGCAACGCCGCGUGAGUGAUGAAGGUCUUCGGAUCGUAAAGCUCUGUUAUUGGGGAAGAACAAAUGUGUAAGUAGCUAUGCACGUCUUGACGGUACCUAAUCAGAAAGCCACGGCUAACUACGUG